GAUUAACGCGAAGAACCUUACCUACCCUUGACAUGGUCGGAAUCCUGCUGAGAGGUGGGAGUGCUCGAAAGAGAACCGGCGCACAGGUGCUGCAUGGCUGUCGUCAGCUCGUGUCGUGAGAUGUUGGGUUAAGUCCCGCGACGAGCGCAACCCUUGUCCUUAGUUGCUACGCAAGAGCACUCUAAGGAGACUGCCGGUGACAAACCGGAGGAAGGUGGGGAUGACGUCAAGUCCUCAUGGCCCUUAUGGGUAGGGCUUCACACGUCAUACAAUGGUCGGAACAGAGGGUUGCCAACCCGCGAGGGGGAGCUAAUCCCAGAAAACCGAUCGUAGUCCGGAUUGCACUCUGCAACUCGAGUGCAUGAAGCUGGAAUCGCUAGUAAUCGCGGAUCAGCAUGCCGCGGUAAAUACGUUCCCGGCCUUGUACACACCGAAUCACUAGU
rnacentral:rRNA from 1 species